rnacentral:tRNA from 1 species
GGAAAUGUGGCUUAGUGGUAGAGUAUUUGCCUAGCAUGCAUGAAGCCCUAGGUUCGAUUCCUCAGUCCCC